rnacentral:sRNA from 1 species
GCACGCGGAAAGGAGGUGGUCCAAACAAUGGUGAUUCAUAGUUGGGCUAGCGAGGUGGCUGUCCGCUAGCGGCGGAACCAUCCGGACCAGGUCUGGAUGUCUCACGCCGCAGAGGCGAAUCUGAGGCAGCCACCGGGGCUCCGAGCAGCUGGAGGGCGGGGUCCAUCCCCGUCUGUGGUCCAUCCAGCCCGCCUGUCGACAGGUGGAGCGAGCUCGGGGCCCUUCCCAU